AAUGAAUUGACAGAUUUAUGUAUUAAAUUUAGAAUUUAAUUAAGUGGGGUUUUGUUAAUCCACAUUCAUUA
rnacentral:tRNA from 1 species